ensembl:lncRNA
ACACGUUGUUAAUAUCAGCUUCUGUCUGCAAACCAUUCCUCUUAUGUUGAGUUGUUGGUGCUUUGGCAGUUGAGGGUUGGAUGGAAGUGGAUAAUGCAACAUGCAAUCGUACAAGCUGAGAUUACAUUCAAAUGUUGUUUUCGUUCCGACCUCAAGAGCUUGUGUGCUUUGUCUUUCUAUUGUAAUCGUUUUUGUACUGAUUGAUGUUUGCUGUCUUGAUGGCAUAAAAAAAUCUGUUUCAUUUGUCAAUUCAGCGAAUGGAAAUGACAAACCAUGACUAAGGACAUAUUAUUUUACUAUUUUAAACAUUCAGCAUCCACAUCCCAGUGUGUUUACAGUACACCUAGUGUGCUCAUUGUACAAAAAGUAUACACAGUACUUCUUUUAAUUCUGCUUUAAUCAGAACAUUUGAAUAAAUGAUUUCUACAUUAAGCCAUGCCUAUUCAAAAAGAUUUUCGUCUGAGCCAAAUAGAACCAAAUAGAACUCUAGUACCUGGAUUGAAGUCAUGGCAUCUAGACAACGGUUAAGGUUUGGUGGUGAAGUAACUUAACCGCUUCAGAAUAAUUGAAUGGAAGUUUAAUAAUGAUGAACUUUAAUCGCUGCAUUGUGAAAUGAUGCAUGCUGUUGUCUUCUACAUUGACAGAGACAGAGCACUGUGCAUCCAUCCACCAAACCUACCUUGCCGUUCUGACUUCUUGACACGGCAUUAGCCUUUCAACAUGAAUUUGAUACCUAGGGAAAACUGUGCAUGCCCCCAGCAUCAACAACAGACAGCGGGCCGAGUGCUGAAAGGAAAGGAGCGCAAAUGAAAGGAAAGGAAAUCUCCUGGUCUGUCUUCCUGGAGAGCACCUGUGGCGAGGGGGAAGAAUGAGAGGCAGAGGGCAAGGAGGGAAGCACCUCUGCCCUUUCCCGCCCUCCACUGUCC